rnacentral:rRNA from 2 species
UGCAAGUCGAGCGGCAGCACGGGUACUUGUACCUGGUGGCGAGCGGCGGACGGGUGAGUAAUGCCUAGGAAUCUGCCUGGUAGUGGGGGAUAACGCUCGGAAACGGACGCUAAUACCGCAUACGUCCUACGGGAGAAAGCAGGGGACCUUCGGGCCUUGCGCUAUCAGAUGAGCCUAGGUCGGAUUAGCUAGUUGGUGAGGUAAUGGCUCACCAAGGCGACGAUCCGUAACUGGUCUGAGAGGAUGAUCAGUCACACUGGAACUGAGACACGGUCCAGACUCCUACGGGAGGCAGCAGUGGGGAAUAUUGGACAAUGGGCGAAAGCCUGAUCCAG